UUAAGCAAAGAAGAGCGCAGGGUGGAUGCCUUGGCACUAAGAGCCGAAGAAAGACGUGAUAAGCUGCGAAAAGCUGCGGGGAGAUGCAAAUAAUCCUUGAUCCGCAGAUGUCUGAAUGGGGAAACCCGGUACGAAGAACUCGUAUCAUCCAUACGCCAAUCCAUAACGUAUGGAGGGGAACCCGGUGAACUGAAACAUCUAAGUAGCCGGAGGAAGAGAAAGAAACAUCGAUUUUGUUAGUAGCGGCGAGCGAAAGCGAAAGAGGCCAAACCGGAGUGCGUGCACUCCGGGGUUCGGACCGCAUUUAAGAUUCAGUGAUUCUAGCAGAAAGGUUUGGGAAAGCCUGCCGGAGAGGGUGAAAGCCCCGUAAGCGAAAGGAAAGCUGACUGAGCGGGAUCCAGAGUACAUCGAGACACGAGAAACCUUGAUGGAAUGAGCGGGGACCACCCCGUAAGCCUAAAUACUACUUAGUGACCGAUAGCGCAUAGUACUGUGAAGGAAAGGUGAAAAGGACCCCGGGAGGGGAGUGAAAGAGAACCUGAAACCCUGUGUUUACAAGCUGUGGAAGUUCUUUAAAUGAACAACCGCGUACUUUUUGUAGAACGGUCCGGCGAGUUGCGGACACUGGCAAGGUUAAGCACUUAAGGUGCGGAGCCGAAGGGAUACCAAGUCUUAACAGGGCGUAAAGUCAGUGUACGCAGACCCGAAACCGGGUGAUCUAUCCAUGUCCAGGUUGAAGUUGUCGUAAAAGACAAUGGAGGACCGAAGCCACAUCCGUUGAAAAGGGUGGGCAUGAGGUGUGGAUAGGGGAGAAAUUCCAAUCGAACCCGGAGAUAGCUGGUUCUCCUCGAAAUAGCUUUAGGGCUAGCCUCGAUUUAGUCUUAUGGAGGUAGAGCACUGAAUUUCCGCGGGGGCGUCAAAGCUUACCAAAGAAUAUCAAACUCCGAAUGCCAUGUAGAUGAUGAUCGGGAGUCAGACUGCACGAGAUAAGUUGGGCAGUCAAAAGGGAAAGAGCCCAGACCACCGGCUAAGGUCCCAAAGUGCGUGUUAAGUGGAAAAGGAUGUGGGAAUUCGAAGACAACUAGGAUGUUGGCUCAGAAGCAGCCAUACAUUCAAAGAGUGCGUAACAGCUCACUAGUCGAGAGUUCCUGCGCCGAAAAUGUCCGGGGCUGAAACACGACACCGAAGCCGUGGACUCGCAAUGCGAGUGGUAGAGGAGCAUUCUUAAAACCGACGAAGCUGUACCGAAAGGAGCAGUGGAGGGAUAAGAAGAGAGAAUGCCGGAAUGAGUAGCGAGAGAAAGGUGGGAAUCCUUUCGGCCGAAUAUCUAAGGUUUCCAGAGUAAAGCUGAUCUGCUCUGGGUAAGUCGGGGCCUAAGCACAGGUCGCAAGACGUAAGCGAUGGAUAACAGGUUUAGAUUCCUGUACCACGCAUUAUCAGAACUGUAGGGACGCAUGUGGAAAGCACGGGCCGGGAAUGGAAAGACCGGUACAAGCGGGGUAGGUGUACAAUAGGCAAAUCCGUUGUAUAAUCCGAAGACGUGAUGUGGAGCGAAAUAAAGUAGUGAAGCGUGUGAGCCAUGUGCCGAGAAAAGCUGCUAUUGUGUAAUGCGUGCCCGUACCGUAAACCGACACAGGUGGAUGAGGAGAGAAUCCUAAGGCCGACGGAAGAAGCAUUGUUAAGGAAUUCGGCAAAAUGACCCCGUAACUUCGGGAGAAGGGGUGCCUGCGAGAGCAGGCCGCAGAGAAUAGGCUCAAGCAACUGUUUAGCAAAAACACAGGUCUAUGCGAAACCGAAAGGUGAAGUAUAUGGGCUGACGCCUGCCCGGUGCUGGAAGGUUAAGAGGAGAGGUUAGCGCAAGCGAAGCUUUGAAUUUAAGCCCCAGUAAACGGCGGCCGUAACUAUAACGGUCCUAAGGUAGCGAAAUUCCUUGUCGGGUAAGUUCCGACCCGCACGAAAGGCGUAAUGAUUUGAGCACUGUCUCGACAA
rnacentral:rRNA from 1 species